rnacentral:rRNA from 1 species
UGUUUGAUGUUCUAACGUGGACCCGUGAUCCGGGUUGCGGACAGUGUCUGGUGGGUAGUUUGACUGGGGCGGUCUCCUCCUAAAGAGUAACGGAGGAGCACGAAGGUUGGCUAAUCCUGGUCGGACAUCAGGAGGUUAGUGCAAUGGCAUAAGCCAGCUUGACUGCGAGCGUGACGGCGCGAGCAGGUGCGAAAGCAGGUCAUAGUGAUCCGGUGGUUCUGAAUGGAAGGGCCAUCGCUCAACGGAUAAAAGGUACUCCGGGGAUAACAGGCUGAUACCGCCCAAGAGUUCAUAUCGACGGCGGUGUUUGGCACCUCGAUGUCGGCUCAUCACAUCCUGGGGCUGAAGUAGGUCCCAAGGGUAUGGCUGUUCGCCAUUUAAAGUGGUACGCGAGCUGGGUUUAGAACGUCGUGAGACAGUUCGGUCCCUAUCUGCCGUGGGCGCUGGAGAACUGAGGGGGGCUGCUCCUAGUACGAGAGGACCGGAGUGGACGCAUCACUGGUGUUCGGGUUGUCAUGCCAAUGGCACUGCCCGGUAGCUAAAUGCGGAAGAGAUAAGUGCUGAAAGCAUCUAAGCACGAAACUUGCCCCGAGAUGAGUUCUCCCUGACCCUUUAAGGGUCCUGAAGGAACGUUGAAGACGACGACGUUGAU